rnacentral:ncRNA from 2 species
UUGCGCACCGGAGAUGGCAUUCUCCUUUAACCGCCCUUGUGGCUGAUGAUGCCUGCUUCGUC